rnacentral:rRNA from 1 species
GAUGCUGGGCGCAGCCUGAUCCAGCAAUGCCGCGUGAGUGAAGAAGGCCUUCGGGUUGUAAAGCUCUUUUGUCAGGGAAGAAACGGCUCCGGCUAAUAUCCGGGGCUAAUGACGGUACCUGAAGAAUAAGCACCGGCUAACUACGUGCCAGCAGCCGCGGUAAUACGUAGGGUGCAAGCGUUAAUCGGAAUUACUGGGCGUAAAGCGUGCGCAGGCGGUUUUGUAAGUCUGACGUGAAAGCCCCGGGCUCAACCUGGGAAUUGCGUUGGAGACUGCAAGGCUUGAAUCUGGCAGAGGGGGGUAGAAUUCCACGUGUAGCAGUGAAAUGCGUAGAGAUGUGGAGGAACACCGAUGGCGAAGGCAGCCCCCUGGGUCAAGAUUGACGCUCAUGCACGAAAGCGUGGGGAGCAAACAGGAUUAGAUACCCUGGUAGUCCACGCCCUAAACGAUGUCUACUAGUUGUCGGGUUUUAAUUAACUUGGUAACGCAGCUAACGCGUGAAGUAGACCGCCUGGGGAGUACGGUCGCAAGAUUAAAACUCAAUGAAAUUGACGGA